AUGUCUUGCCCGUCUUUUAGGGUAGGUGAAGUGGGCUUUUUGCGCCCCAUGUCUGGUUCUUUAGGGGUUUGUUGGCUGUUUGCCGUAUGCAAGUUACCUCCAGUGUCCAGGAAGCCCCAGUAUGCUGCAUUCAGGUCCUGCGGGAUUCCCGCGCUGUAGGCCCAGUUCCCCGCCGUCGGUUUUUGCCACUCGUGGGGAAAAUGAAUGGCAUCUGCC